rnacentral:lncRNA from 1 species
GGGCAAUCUGCUUUACACCUCGCUGCAACGUAUGGAUAUGCACAAGUCAUUCAGGUUAUUAUGUCACUAGGUUUCCCGUACGAUUUGGAAAUGAAGGAUUUUGAAGGCCAUACCCCACUUCACUGUGCUGUUCUGUCCCAUAAUUCCCUGUUCCGAGAGCAGCAAUGUCACCUUACACUAACCGAGGAACAGAGAAAAGAACUUCAGUACCAGAGUGAGGAGGUGCUAUCAUGUAUCCACCUUCUGGUACAGAUGGGAGCCUCCAUCCACAGCCG